rnacentral:rRNA from 1 species
AUGUCGGAAUCCACGGAAGAGCUCAAAACCAUGCUGCAGGCGCUCGUGAAGCGCUUCGAUGAGAACACGCUCGCGAGCGACAAGCAGCGCGAGGCCCAGAUCGCGUUCAACACUCAAGUCUCCGCGGAUCUGGCGCACAUCCGCAAGCAGCUGGACCUCACCCAAGCCGACGUCGAUGAAGUUCAGCAGCAGCAGCGCGAACUACCACCUUCGCCGCCCGCAGCCGAGCGCCACCGCCCGAACACUGCCGACCACCAUGACGGCGACACCCAAGCCUUUGCGGUGACUUCGCUGGAGCACGACCGCGGCGCUCGUCCUCAAGGCCCAGCCGUCCGCCUAGCCAACAAUGGACCACCGCUGCUACCCACGCGACACGCCCUGUCCUACGCGGGCGUGGGGCAGACGAACGCGUUCGUGUUGGGCCGCGACACGCACACCAGGCAGCGCGAGCAGUACACGGUCAAGCCACCGAAGCACGACUUCCCGCACUUCGACGGCGACGCGCCCAGCCUCUGGAUCGACCGCUGCAUACCUACUUCGACCUCUACCGCGUUCCUCCACACAGCUGGGUGA